rnacentral:lncRNA from 1 species
GUUUUUUUUUUUUACUCCAGGGAAAACACUGACGAAUGGUCAGAGCUCCUAUCCUGAUCUUUUCAUCAAGGCACCUUUACAAACCAAAAUUUAAAUGAUCAGAAUUGGCAGCACAAAGAAAACGCCCUCUCUUGACUUGCAUUGUGGCAGUCUGAACGCCCCCAGAAAAUUGUGCCAAAGAGUUUAGAAAAAUAAGUACACAAUAAAAGUAAACACACACAUACACACAAAACAGCAAACUUCAGGUAACUAUUUUGGAUUGCAAACAGGAUAAAUUAAAUGUUCAAACAAUCUGAUAAAAUAACCAUUUGGAAACUGAAAAAAAAAAAAAUCAGUUAAAAAAAGCAAAGCCCAGAAAA